rnacentral:rRNA from 1 species
GGCUACUGCUAUUGGAGUUCGAUUAAGCCAUGCGAGUCUAAGGGAUCUUCGGAUCCCUGGCGUAAUGCUCAGUAACACGUGGAUAAUCUACCCUCAGGUGGGGCAUAAACCCGGGAAACUGGGGCUAAUUCCCCAUAGAUACAGAUCGCUGGAAUGCUUCUGUAUUCAAAGCUCCGGCGCCUGAGGAUGGGUCUGCGGCCUAUCAGGUUGUAGUCAGGGUCAAGACCUGACUAGCCAGCGACGGGUAUGGGGUGUGAGAGCACUUGCCCAGAGAUGGUUUCUGAGACACGAAACCAGGCCCUACGGGGCGCAGCAGGCGCGAAAACUUCGCAAUGCGGGAAACCGUGACGAGGGAACUCCAAGUGUCUAUGCAUUGCAUAGACUGUUUUUUAGCCUAAAUAGCUAUUAGAGUAAGGGGUGGGCAAGACCGGUGCCAGCCGCCGCGGUAACACCGGCACCUCGAGUGGUAGCCACUAUUAUUGGGCCUAAAGCGUUCGUAGCCGGUUUGGUAAAUUCUUGGGUAAAUCGUACCGCUUAACGGUGCGGAUUCCGGGGACACUACCAGACUUGAGACCGGGGGAGAUCAGAGGUACUUGCGGGGGAGCGGUGAAAUGUUGUAAUCCCGCAGGGACCACCAGUGGCGAAGGCGUCUGAUCAGAACGGCUCUGACGGUGAGGAACGAAACCCUGGGGCGCAAACGGGAUUAGAUACCCCGGUAGUCCAGGGCGUAAACGCUGCUGACUUGGUGUUGGGGAUCCUACGAGGAUGUCCAGUGCUGGCGCGAAGGUAUUAAGUCAGCCGCCUGGGGAGUACGGUCGCAAGACUGAAACUUAAAGGAAUUGGCGGGGGAGCACUGCAACGUGUGGAGCGUGCGGUUUAAUUGGAUUCAACGCCGGAAAACUCACCGGGGGCGACGGUUAUAUGAAGGCCAAGCUGAUGACUUUGCCUGAUUUUCCGAGAGGUGGUGCAUGGCCGCCGUCAGUUCGUACCGUAAGGCGUUCUGUUAAGUCAGAUAACGAACGAGACCUCCGUCACCAUUUGCUAUUCUUCUCUCCGGAGAGGGAGCACUAUGGUGGUACC